rnacentral:tRNA from 1 species
UCCGCCCUGGUGUAAUGGCAGCACGCCGGCCUUUGGAGCCGUGCAGUCCAGGUUCGAAUCCUGGGGGCGGAGCCA